rnacentral:lncRNA from 1 species
UGCCGUUUCACGGGGCUGUUGUUACUAAUAAGCUAGUGAAUAUGACAUAUUAAGAAUAGGGUGUGUGGUAACCAUAAUUAUUAUUUGUCUAAGGUCCCUACCAGGCAUGUAAUGACCGUUGGGGACAGCUGCAACAGGAUAUGGCUUGAUCACUUCCAAGAUGACCCAUCUGGCCUGGAUCUCUUCUUCAGAUAUCCCUUCCAGUCCCCUGACCCUCCAGACCUCAGCCUCAACGGAGCAGCCAACAAGAAGCACCGGCUAGGUCCCAUUUGUGAAUCCCGAGAGGACCCGCUGCACACUGCACCGUCAGAAGGCAGGGAUCCUGACUGCUGCCAGGGAAGGGACAGCUAAUCCCUUUGGUGGCUCAGGCCACCAGCAACUAGGAUCUUCUCUAGGCACUGCAGUCUACAGGAUGCCUGUAGUGCGGAGAGAGCAUGUACGGGGUAUCCUGGGGCUGAAGUC